AUUGAACGCUGGCGGCAUGCCUUACACAUGCAAGUCGAACGGCAGCGCGGGGCAACCUGGCGGCGAGUGGCGAACGGGUGAGUAAUAUAUCGGAACGUACCCUGGAGUGGGGGAUAACGUAGCGAAAGUUACGCUAAUACCGCAUACGAUCUAAGGAUGAAAGUGGGGGAUCGCAAGACCUCAUGCUCCUGGAGCGGCCGAUAUCUGAUUAGCUAGUUGGUGGGGUAAAGGCCUACCAAGGCAUCGAUCAGUAGCUGGUCUGAGAGGACGACCAGCCACACUGGAACUGAGACACGGUCCAGACUCCUACGGGAGGCAGCAGUGGGGAAUUUUGGACAAUGGGCGAAAGCCUGAUCCAGCAAUGCCGCGUGAGUGAAGAAGGCCUUCGGGUUGUAAAGCUCUUUUGUCAGGGAAGAAACGGUGAGAGCUAAUAUCUUUUGCUAAUGACGGUACCUGAAGAAUAAGCACCGGCUAACUACGUGCCAGCAGCCGCGGUAAUACGUAGGGUGCAAGCGUUAAUCGGAAUUACUGGGCGUAAAGCGUGCGCAGGCGGUUUUGUAAGUCUGUCGUGAAAUCCCCGGGCUCAACCUGGGAAUUGCGAUGGAGACUGCAAGGCUAGAAUCUGGCAGAGGGGGGUAGAAUUCCACGUGUAGCAGUGAAAUGCGUAGAGAUGUGGAGGAACACCGAUGGCGAAGGCAGCCCCCUGGGUCAAGAUUGACGCUCAUGCACGAAAGCGUGGGGAGCAAACAGGAUUAGAUACCCUGGUAGUCCACGCCCUAAACGAUGUCUACUAGUUGUCGGGUUUUAAUUAACUUGGUAACGCAGCUAACGCGUGAAGUAGACCGCCUGGGGAGUACGGUCGCAAGAUUAAAACUCAAAGGAAUUGACGGGGACCCGCACAAGCGGUGGAUGAUGUGGAUUAAUUCGAUGCAACGCGAAAAACCUUACCUACCCUUGACAUGUACGGAAGCCACGAGAGAUCGAGGUGUGCUCGAAAGAGAGCCGUAACACAGGUGCUGCAUGGCUGUCGUCAGCUCGUGUCGUGAGAUGUUGGGUUAAGUCCCGCAACGAGCGCAACCCUUGUCAUUAGUUGCUACGAAAGAGCACUCUAAUGAGACUGCCGGUGACAAACCGGAGGAAGGUGGGGAUGACGUCAAGUCCUCAUGGCCCUUAUGGGUAGGGCUUCACACGUCAUACAAUGGUACAUACAGAGGGCCGCCAACCCGCGAGGGGGAGCUAAUCCCAGAAAGUGUAUCGUAGUCCGGAUUGUAGUCUGCAACUCGACUACAUGAAGUUGGAAUCGCUAGUAAUCGCGGAUCAGCAUGUCGCGGUGAAUACGUUCCCGGGUCU
rnacentral:rRNA from 1 species